CCCCGCUUAGCUCAACGGUAGAGCGUUCGGCUGUAGACCGAAAGGUUCCCAGAGGCAUUUAACACAAGGUAAAAGCCGGGAAAUUCAAAUCUGGGAGCGGGGA
rnacentral:tRNA from 1 species